AUAAUAUUAGCAGAAUAAUAAGAAGAGAAUAAAUUAAUCUGAAUAAUUAAAAAAAAUCUAAAAUAAUCAUGGACGUACUUAAAUAACAUAAUCACUAAAUUCGCGGAGAGCGGCGUUAACUCCAAUUGUUGAUAACAAAAGUUGAAUCGCGGUAAUAUCAGCAAAGUAAAAAAUACCUUUCGGUUCGUCUACACCAUAUCCAUCCUCGAAAUUUCUAAAAUAUUCAUAUGUAAUAUAUGGUGCGAUGAUAUUUAUUAUUGAUGAUAUUAUACAUACUUCGAUUUAAAAGGUCCACUUCUUUUGGAUUGUCUAUAUAUACUUACCGAAAAUGAUUGUACACGUCCUUUACCAUUGGACAUCCAACAAUUUGUCUCAUGUUUUGACCAUAACCUGAAUGAUAAUAAGACAUCAAAUCUUCGCUGAAUUGAAUCUUUUCCAGAUCCUCCUUUCUAAAAAUGGCGCACCAGGGAGAUGACCCGUAAUAAAUAGUCUCAAAAGUGCAAAUAUAAGGUGACAAUCUAUUACCUACUUGGCAAAUGAGGAUUAGUUAUUGCACCACGAACAAUAUGAUUACGUGUGUAUGGACCGAAGUGCAUAAAGGGAUCUGUAUCAUCAGUGUAACAAUAAUCGCUUAAAACUAAAUGAUUUGUCAAACAAAAAAUUGCGAUUAAUAUCGCAAUGAUUUUUAUAUUCGACAUAUUUAUUUUCUUGAAGGAACCUAUAUUGUAUCUGAAAUGAAAAAUUAUGUAUAUAUAAUUAAAUAAUUUAAAAUAUAUACAUACUAUUGCGAUGUUUUUUUGAAAACGACAUAUAUACGUGAAAAGUACAUUGCUUAAAAAAAACAUAAAAAUAAACACAAAAUUUAAAGUAAAAUUUAUGAAAGUUAUGAGAAUUCCCUGUUACGAGAUGGUACUUACAUGUUAUCGUUUCAACGAUUGUUUAAGCUUAAACACUGCUACUCACCUUCUACGAUUGAACGACUUAAGCGCGCGUUCUCCUCUUUUAUAGGAAGGAGCCUAUCAAUACCUUCAGGUCUCAAUGCUCUAUAAGAUUUAAAUGAACGUUUUCGAAUGUGUAUUAAGAUUGUUAAUGACGUAUAAAAAAGAACAAUUUACAACAGAUUAUAAUUACAUUGAAUUUCUUAUAUACUUCAAUUAUUAUCUUAUAGAAUAUUUUAUUGUAUUUAGUACGCAUCUUAAAUUUCCUAUUCAGCUGUACGCAAGAUAAACGUGAUGUUAAAACCGCACUUAAGCAUUGUCGUACACCAAUAAACUAAGCAUACCUCAGAGUAUAAUCUCGAAAGCUGUAUAACCUCGAAACAAGUUCAAUUAAAAUUUGAUUUCAUUACCUAUAAAAGUACAAUGGAAAACAAUACGAUUAGAACGGAUAAUAAAAUCGUAAAUAAAUGAAUAGUUAAAAUGAACGAAUUAUUAAAAAACAUAUCAUAUUUCAGAGAAAUUUUGAUAAUAAUUUUCUUAUGUAAAGAUAAAUGGAUAUACAUAUGUUUAAAUUAUAUAUUUAAAUCAAUGCAUACAUAUAACUGAAAGUAUUUAUGAAAAUAAAGGGAUGAUUAUAAAACUUCUUUCACACAUUGAAAAAAUGAAAGAAGUUCAUAUAUAUGUACAUACGAAUAUGCCUAUGUAAUUCAUAUGUACAUGUAUAUGUAUAUGUAUGUAUUUAUCGAGUCAUAAAUAAUUUAAUUUUGCAUUGGAUGGAGUAAGUGAUAAGUAUCCAUUUGCGUAGCAGACUUUUUUAACGAAAACACGACGCAUAAUGAUAAUACAAUUAGCUGAUUUAACUGGUCAAAAAUCAAUUUAAAAAAUUUUUAUUACUUAAGGUAAUUAAAUAUGUG